ensembl:lncRNA
UUUGUUCAGCAGCGGCAUCAGCUCUUUGAUCUGCUGUGGCUGGUCCCAUAAUGUCUCGCCGGUUCCGUCUCAGCACUGCUCCCUCCUCUGUUUUAAUGGUGUACGACCUUGGAUGCACUUCAUUUAUAACAGUUGCUUUCUGUGACCAUGUAUUUGUUUUAGCUUUGAGCCUCAGAUAAUCACCAGUAUGCAGUUCAGGUAGGUUCCUUGUUCCUUUAUCAUAGUAUUUCUGUUUUGCUUUUUGCUGCUCCUUGAACUUCUGUAUUUCCCCCCCUCCUUUGUUUUCAGCAGGUUUUCCUGAAUGGGCAGGUUGGAUCUAAGGCGACGUCCCAUUAGGAGUUGUGCUGGUGAAAUACUGCACUCUAGUGGCGUUGUGCGGUACACAAGCAGGCUUUGUCAGCUGUCUCAGAGGUGCCAUGCGUUCAGAGAGAUUGGGUAUGAAUUUCCCCAUGUAGUUUUUCAUGCCAUUAAAUCUCCGUCUGUCCUUCUUACAUUGUGGCUUUGGCAUGUUCUCUAUUGCAGGCACUUUCCUGGGAUCUGGUCUGAUGCCCUCGCUGCUCAGGAUGUCCCCCACAAAUGUUAGUUCUUUCACCCCAAGCUGGCAUUUCUCUUUAUUCAGAUUUAAGUUUGCUGUUUUUGUUGCCUUGAGAACUUGCUUUAGCCUCUCAUCGUGUUCAGAUUUUUGUUCCUCUUUUUAUUGCUCUGUUCAAGUUUCUGGGAUCCAUACACACUAGGCUUACCAUUUUUCUUCUCUACAAUAACAAGCGAACUCACCCAGUCAGUUGGCUCAUCAAUCUUUUCGAUCACGUUGAGGCUUUCCAUCCUGUCCAACUCGGUUUUCAGUGGCUUUUGAAGAGCAAAUGGCACUUUUCAACAUGGGUUAAUAACUGGUGGCACAUUUUUAUCCACUCUGAUUGUAUGUUCUCCAGGAAGCCAUCCAAGACCCGGAAACAGGUCACUGUACUCUUCCAUCAGUUCAUCAUAGACUGUUUCUCAAUCACUUUCCACCACAAGCACCUAAACCUAAUAUGGCCUGCACAUCUCUGUGCACCACGACGAAUGCGAGUGUGUGUUCCUUUCACAGGUAUUGCUGCUCCUGAAUAUCCACGUACUUUCACUUUUGUUGCAUGCACUUUAGGUCUGGGUCUGAUGU